rnacentral:lncRNA from 1 species
CUUCCAAACAAUGCUCAGUUAACUAAAUAUAAGAAGUAGAACAGGCAAGGAAUACUUUUACUAAUUCCCAGUCCUAAGUUUUCAAAGAAACCAAGGAGCUAGACCCAGGAAAUCCAAAAUUAACAAUCGCCUAAGACAGCCAGAAAAGCCUAUACUUCAUUCGCAACAAAAUGCAAUACCAAAACCAGAGUUAAAAGUUUUAGAACUCUAGAAAGAAAAUGUAACAGAUGGAAGUUUUGAGCUUUUCUCUAUAUUUCUUUCUUUCGCUUCCCUAUAUUUUUUUCCCGGAAACCAAACAACUAACUUAACCCAGAAAUUUCAACUAAUCAACAAACAACUAAAAGAUAAACUACUCGAACAAUACCUUCAGACCCAAUAAACAAACAGGAAGUCCUCAUCAAAAGAGCCUGAAAUCUUAGUAUCUCCUUUUGAAAGAGUAGCAACCAAAAGCUAAAUUAAGAACAGGGCGCGCGAGAGCGAAGGGUAAACCUGGUCUGGGGAGUCAGGCGAAGGAGAUAGGAUGCGACGGAGACCAGUGAGCGAAGCAUAGACGGUGUUAUUGUGGGUCGCCAUGUACGCGCCCUUGCCUGCUUUGAGCUCCGUUGCUUUGCCCAACACUUCUCCUGGUGUUACCAACUCCGUCUCCAUCUCCGUCUCUUUCAUUCUCUUAUCUUCUCUAUCCCGACAACGAUUUCACCACUUCACUCUUUUUCUUCUUGCGAACCAAAGCAAGCGUGAACUGUGAACUGCCUCGCCUCGCCGCUCUAACUCUCUCACUUUCUCUUUCGUUGAGCGUUUUGAGCCGCUGAUUUUAGACAAUA